rnacentral:rRNA from 1 species
UGGUGGAUGCCUUGGCGGCAACAGGCGAUGAAAGACGUAGUAGCCUGCGAUAAGCCUCGGGGAGCUGGCAAACAAGCUUUGAUCCGAGGAUUUCUGAAUGGGGCAACCCACGGCUUAGGCCGUAUCCCGCAAGGGAGGCUAACGCAGGGAACUGAAACAUCUAAGUACCUGCAGGAAAGGACAUCAACCGAGACUCCGCAAGUAGUGGCGAGCGAACGCGGAAGAGGCCAAACCGAGAGUGGAAACACUUUCGGGGU